ACUCGUCGUCCCACCACAAGUCGUCCAGCGCCUCCUCACUGACAUGCGGCCGCCGCCCCGCGCGUCCUUCCUGCGGCCGCCGCCCCGCUCCUCCUCCGGGCUGCGUGUGCCUCCGCCGUGCUCCUCCUCCCGGCUACGAGGCUGCCGCCCUGAUCCUCCUACCGGCGCCGCUCGGCGCGCCAAGCACAUCCCCGGCCGCCUCCUCCUCUUAUCUUCUCCCGGCGAUGAGCGCCGCACCCAGUACGCGCCCGUCCGUCCCGCUCCUCCUGGUGCCGUACGCCGAGCCCGGUAGGACCUGCUCUCCUGGUCCCCUGCGCCGCCGGUCGCCAGCCCCUUAUGCCUCCCUACGGCAGAAGCCCAUUGUGGCGAGGCGCAGCCGCAGCUGGCCUUCAAGGCGCUGCUGCAGACGCAGCUGUUGAGGGAAGGGAAGUACAUCCAGGACUCCAUCAAGUUCCUCUCUCAUCCCAAGGGGGUGAGCGUUGCUUGAGAAGGUGGAGUGUGCUCCCACAGUGCAGGAAAUCAAGAAGUACUGCCGUUGUAGACUCGUUGUAAAUUCUGAACUGGCUUUGUAUCUACAAAUAGAAAUAAAACUCGUUGUCCAUUCUGAA